rnacentral:rRNA from 1 species
UACGUAGGGGGCAAGCGUUGUCCGGAUUUAUUGGGCGUAAAGAGCUCGUAGGCGGUUUGGUAAGUCAAGUGUGAAAUCUCCACGCUCAACGUGGAGGGGCCACCUGAUACUGCCAUGACUGGAGUCCGGUAGAGGAGUGUGGAAUUCCCGGUGUAGCGGUGGAAUGCGCAGAUAUCAGGAGGAACACCGGUGGCGAAGGCGGGGUCUCUGGGCAGUAACUGACGCUGAGGAGCGAAAAGCGUGGGGGAGCGAACAGG